GCCCUGGUGGUGCAGUGGUUAAAUGUCUGUACUGCAGCCAUAAGGUUGAGGGUUCAAUACCAGCCAAGGGCU